GAAGCAGUGUACGUCAGACUUCCAAGAAAAGCUCGCAAUGUCAUAAAUAAUAAAUGCCUGUACCAUAACCGACACAGGUGGGUAGGUAGAGUAUACUAAGGGGCGCGAGAUAACUCUCUCUAAGGAACUCGGCAAAAUGACUCCGUAACUUCGGGAGAAGGAGUGCCUUAUUUAUAAGGUUGCAAUAACAAGAUCCAAGCAACUGUUUAUCAAAAACACAGGUCUCCGCUAAGUCGUAAGACGAUGUAUGGGGGCUGACGCCUGCCCAGUGCCAGAAGGUUAAAGAAGUUGGUUAGUGUAUGCGAAGCUGAUGACUGAAGCCCUGGUGAACGGCGGCCGUAACAAUAACGGUCCUAAGGUAGCGAAAUUCCUUGUCGGGUAAGUUCCGACCCGCACGAAAGGCGUAAUGAUUUGGAUACUGUCUCGGAGAGAGGCUCGGUGAAAUAGACUUGUCUGUGAAGAUGCGGACUACCUGCACCAGGACAGAAAGACCCUAUGAAGCUUUACUGUAACUUGAAAUUGGAAUUGGACUUUGCUUGCGCAGUAUAGGUGGGAAGCGUUGAAGAUAUUCUUGCGGGAGUAUUGGAGCUAUCAGUGAGAUACCACUCUUGUAAUGUUAGAUUUCUAACUUUGAACCAUAAUCUGGUCAAAGAACAGUUUCAGGUGGGCAGUUUGACUGGGGCGGUCGCCUCCCAAAUGGUAACGGAGGCGUACAAAGGUUUCCUCUGAACGGAUAGAAAUCGUAUCUAGAGUGUAAAGGCAUAAGGAAGCUUGACUGUGAGACCUACAAGUCGAGCAGGGACGAAAGUCGGUCUUAGUGAUCUGACGGUACUGAGUGGAAAGGCCGUCACUCAACGGAUAAAAGUUACUCUAAGGAUAACAGGCUGAUCUCCCCCAAGAGUUCACAUCGACGGGGAGGUUUGGCACCUCGAUGUCGGCUCAUCGCAUCCUGGGGCGGUAGUACGUCCCAAGGGUUGGGCUGUUCGCCCAUGAAAGCGGUACGCGAGCUGGGUUCAGAACGUCGUGAGACAGUUCGGUCCAUAUCCGGUGUAGGCGUUAGAAUAUUGAGAGGAGCCUUCUUUAGUACGAGAGGACCGAGAAGGACACACCGCUGGUGUACCAGUUAUCGUGUCAACGGUAAACGCUGGGUAGCUAUGUGUGGAGUGGAUAACCGCUGAAAGCAUCUAAGUGGGAAGCCCACCUCAAGAUGAGUAUUCCC
rnacentral:rRNA from 1 species